rnacentral:misc_RNA from 1 species
GAUGAAGAACGUAGCGAAAUGCGAUAAGUAAUGCGAAUUGCAGAAUUUCCGUGAGUCAUCGAGUCUUUGAACGCACAUUGCGCCCCCUGGCAUUCCGGGGGGCAUGCCUGUCCGAGCGUCAUUGCUGCCCUUCAAGCCCGGCUUGUGUGUUGGGUCGUCGUCCCCCCCGGGGGACGGGCCCGAAAGGCAGCGGCGGCACCGCGUCCGGUCCUCGAGCGUAUGGGGCUUUGUCACCCGCUCGAUUAGGGCCGGCCGGGCGCCAGCCGGCGUCUCCAACCUUCUAUUUUACCAGGUUGACCUCGGAUCAGGUAGGGAUACCCGCUGAACUUAAGCAUAUCAAUAAGCGGAGGA